UUGCAAUUCCGAAAUACUUAU
ensembl:piRNA 21ur-4173 ncRNA